CGUAGGCAGCGAGCGUUGUUCGGAGUUACUGGGCGUAAAGAGUGCGUAGGCGGUUGGCUAAGUUUGGUGUGAAAUCUCCCGGCUCAACUGGGAGGGUGCGCCGAAAACUGGCUGGCUGGAGUGUGGGAGAGGCUAGCGGAAUUCCUGGUGUAGCGGUGAAAUGCGUAGAUAUCAGGAGGAACACCUGCGGUGUAGACGGCUGGCUGGACCACUACUGACGCUGAGGCACGAAAGCGUGGGGAGCAAACAGGAUUAGAUACCCUGGUAGUCCACGCCCUAAACGAUGCAUACUUGGUGUGGGCAGUUCAUUCUGUCCGUGCCGGAGCUAACGCGUUAAGCAUGCCGCCUGGGGAGUCGGUCGCAAGGCUG
rnacentral:rRNA from 1 species